GUGUAUUACGGUACGUCAGUUGUUGUUCAGAGCGACUACCAAAAAUAACGAACGGGAUUCUGUUUCGGGAGUUUUUAAGCUAAAGAAUCUGACGAGGCCCGCCGCAACGGCGUUCGAUUUCCUGACGAGGGAAAAAAAAAAUGCAUUGUUUUUUUAUUUUAUUUUUAAAAAGUACAACGUAUCACUCCAUGGUAUGUCAUCAAGUUUCGACGCUAUGUGACGCAUUAGGCACCUGUUGGCUAACGAUGCUAAAACGGUCACCAACUGACUUUGGGUGAGAGGUGGUACCCUGGACUGGUCAUCAGCCACUCACCGGGCACAUGGAGAUAAACAAACCAGUCACAUUCACACCUAUGGGCAACUUCAGUGUCUUCAGUGAACCUAAAAUGCAUGUUUGGAAAGGAGGACAAAGCAUGUCUACUGUGCUACCAGAUCACACCAAGGCCGGAGCACCCCGCGCGUGCGUCACUGUGAUGCCGCAAUGGAUGCGCUGAGCUGCUCCUUUAUUCAAGCGGAACAAAGCCGAAGCCUGGCUCUGGAGUGGCAUAUUUGCACCGCGCUGCCUGCUGUCUCAUUGAGCGCUGUACAAAAUCAAUAGGCUCUGACCUUACCAAAGUCAGAGGCCAUGCUGAGGACCCCAUCAGGCAGAGUUACCCCCACCCCUUCAAGUGCCUGCACUACUGACUUAAUGAUUUUGACACGUUCAGUAAAUUUACAUCAGGGCAUUUGUAAACAGCAUACAUGUUAAUAUGAUUUUUAAAUAGUAUUGCAUUUUCGGCACAUGUAAUAGUAAGAUAUUUAAAUGCAAAUGUGAAU